rnacentral:lncRNA from 10 species
CUGUCAAAGUGCGGCACCUCCAGCUUGCCAUCCGUCAGUCGCUUGACGUUCUCCAGGCCGCUGUACACCACGUGCUUCAGACCCAGGUGCUUGGCGGAGUCUGCCACCAGCUUCCCCUGAAGAUCAAAAAGUCUGGUGAUUUCCGCUCAUUGCAGCUUCCGCCUCCCGGAUUCAAGUGAUUCUCCUGGCUCAGACUCCCGAGUAGCCGGGGUUACAAGUGCGCACCACCACGCCCAGCUAGUUUUUUGUAUUUUUUAGUAGAGAUGGGGUUUCACCAUACGGCCAGGCUGUUCUGAAACUCCUGAUCUCAAGUCAUCUGCCUACUUCGGACUCCAAAAUUGUUGGGAUUACAGGCCUGAGCCACGGCGCCGGGCCCACUCUCUCCUUUUCUUAUUACCCCCAUCCCUAUGGAGAGGAAGCUCUACCAGCCUCAAAAUAUAUUCAAUUUACCUUACGAGAGGCCACCACAGCCGCAUUGGUGAGCAGAGGCUCCACUCCAAAACCCCCAACUCCUCAGCCUGCUCCCAAAGGGGCUGUCAGCAGAACACCGGAGGUGGGGGAGUAGUAGAAUAAGAAAUUAGAGAGGUGGCAGAGGAGAAAGGAACCCCAGGUACCUGUUUGAAGCCAAGAAGCAACCUGGUGGGAACUGACCAGGAAGAGAUGGCCUUUUUCUCUGGGCUCUCAGUGUCUUUGUGAUCAACUGCAAUCGCAUUUAUUUAUUUUCUAUAAUUGUGUCUAGUAAUGGAAUAUAUCUACACACCAUUUGGAUAUUGAGGGCAUAAUGGAGGCAUAUAUACACACACACACAAACACACAGGUAUAUAUAUUCUCUUUUUUGUGUGUUUUUAGAUCCAAAUUUUCCAAAGCACUUUCAUCUCUCUCUUCUUUUUUCCUUUCUUUUUGCUGUUAACUUCUUACUUUUCCUUAAAAAACCUUAUGCGGCAGGCAGAGAAGACAUAAUUAACCUGGGUUAGCAGAGGCAGGAAGUGAAGCAGAGAGGUGACUUGUAUCCCUACAUUUCCUAGUAAGUAAAUAUCAGAAGUAGAAUUCAAGUCUCCUAAAAUAAGCCCUUCCAGAGUUUAUCACUAAAACAGAGGCUGUGAAUGGUAUAAUUAAUUCAAGAGACAUUCCUGGAACAGUUUGAUCCUGCUCUCGAUUUUUUGAAUUGUGCCAUUUCUUCAAGUGGCUAAUACCAUCCAUUAUAUUUUUUUAAAUCUAAUCUUCAUUUUUUCUCAAAUGUAUACAUAUACAUAGUUUAAAUUUUCAAAUAGUACUGUCAUGGGUUGGGAGGGAAUGGAUCUUAUAAUGAAAAAGAAAUUCCCGGCCGGGCGAGGUGGCUCACGCCUGUAAUCCCAGCACUUUGGGAGGCCGAGGCGGGCGGAUCACGAGGUCAGGAGAUGGAGACCAUCCUGGCUAACACAGUGAAACCCCGUAUCCACUAAAAAUACAAAAAUUUCUCCGGGCGUGGUGGCGGGC